rnacentral:lncRNA from 1 species
AAAUCCAAUUCUCAUUUAAAGAGACAAAACAAUUUCGUUCUCAACCUAAUUUGGGCCAUAAAGCAAUUAACCUCAACUUUUGGGCUAUAUUGCAAAACUUUUGGGGUCACUUUGUAAAGACACAAAAGUCCACUACUUCAUGUAAUUACAAUAGAACCCAAAAUUUAAUCAAUGCAAAAACUUCAUCAAAGGAGCAAAACAAUUUGUCCUUUAGCGUUUUUGGACCUAAACGUAAAAACGUAAACUUUUGGGCCAAAGUGCAAAUACACAAAAGUAUCAAAACUUUAUGUAAUUGCAUAAAAGACCCAAAAGUACUCCCAUUGAGGGAGGGCCGGUUUUUAGAGAGGGAAAGGGAGUGGAGAUAAGUCCACAAAAAUUUGGAAAUUUUUUCAACAAUUUCAUAAAGCCUUGCAAGUGGAAUUUGGUUGUUGUGAAUCAUAAAACCAUGCAUGUGGUGUGUAAGGUGUGUAAGUCUUACACACCCAUCACAAUUUCUAUCACCUUUCAAAAAAAAAAAUGUUUUGGUGAUAGAAAAUUCACAUCAACCAACACAAAACAAAGACUUUAUGAAAUUAACCAAAACUUUGAAUCAAAACACGUUCUUGGCAAAAAUGUCAAGAACAAUGAAGAACACUCAUGAAAAAACUCAAAAUUU